rnacentral:lncRNA from 1 species
GUAAAGAUUUCAGUUUCUAGGGGAAGGAUAAUUAUAGCAUAUUUUUUGUUCAUUUUACUCUAGGGUGAAGUAAUUCUAUCUUAUUUCAUUUCAGAGCUGCACAGUACCAAGUAAAGGAUCUAAUUACCAGGAGGACCUCACAGAAUUUUCCUGAAACUAUUCCUUGUAAAUAUAAAUGUGAGUGAAGCCCAACAGGAACUCAAGAGUCACUGAAAAGUCUCUGUUUUACGGAACGUGAGUACUAUAGUCAAUCUCACAGAUUCUAAUUAAGAAUGGAAUUAACAACAGUCUUUGGAAUGCAUUUAGGAGCUUUCAGGCCGAUUGUCAUCGUAGCAAAACUUGCAUCAACAUCGCAAAAAAACAAAAUUUCUCCUUCACUUUUAAGAUGCAUCGUCUGCAAAACUGCUAAACACAACCAGACUGCACAAAAUGGAUAUAUUCAAAUAUACAACUGUGACAAAGAUCAAGAAGAGUAAAUUACUUUUCUUAAGGUGCAGAACACUGAUUACUGGAAAGUCCCUGGAUGAGAGGUUGGGUUUGAACUACUGAAACAACUGUUCUAUUACGACCUGCAAAAGAGAGACACCAGGAGGAUUAAGCAACUCCUGUUGGAAUAGUCCUCCCAGGCGCCUGGAUGAAGGGUGCCAUGAAGGACAAAACUACCAGAGUGGUGCCAACAGACCUUCCGUAAUUGAUGUUCUGUCAGUAUUUUCUUCUUAGUGGGUACAUUGCCAUUUUCUAACUCUCACCCACCUUGCUUUUGCUUCAGAAGUGCUCUAAAGGGUGAAUCUUUGCAAGUGUGGGUUUUUAGGGUACUUCUGGGUUUAAAAUGCUAAUCUUUUUUUUUUUUUUUUGCUCUGGGUUGCAAAUGGUAACAUACAGGUCCCUCAGCACUAUAACCCAUCUUUUUUUUUAAUAAAGAAAUUAAUGUCACAGAUUCA